AUUCCAGCUCCAAUAGCGUAUAUUAAAGUUGUUGCAGUUAAAAAGCUCGUAGUUGGAUUUUGAGUUUUGUAAGCUUGGUCUACUAUUUAGUAGUACUGACUUGCUGGCUCUUCUUCUCGAGGCCUAUGGGUGCACUUAACCGUGUGUUCAUAGUAUUCGGGACUUUUACCGUGAGAAAAUUAGAGUGUUCGUAGCAGGCCUUUGCUUGAAUAUUGCAGCAUGGAAUAAUGGAAUAGGAUCAUGAUCUUAUUUUGUUGGUUUCUAAGAUCAAGAUAAUGAUUAAUAGGGAUAGUUGGGGGCGUUAAUAUUUGGUUGUCAGAGGUGAAAUUCUUAGAUUUACAAAAGAUUAACUUCUGCGAAAGCAUUCGCCAAGGAUGUUUUCAUCG
rnacentral:rRNA from 1 species